rnacentral:rRNA from 1 species
GGGGACAACCGUUAGAAAUGACUGCUAAUACCCAAUGUGCCGCAAGGUGAAAGAUUUAUUGCCUGAAGAUGAGCUCGCGUCUGAUUAGCUAGUUGGUGGGGUAAAAGCCUACCAAGGCGUCGAUCAGUAGCUGGUUUGAGAGGACGACCAGCCACACUGGGACUGAGACACGGCCCAGACUCCUACGGGAGGCAGCAGUGGGGAAUUUUCCGCAAUGGGCGAAAGCCUGACGGAGCAAUACCGCGUGAGGGAGGAAGGCUCUUGGGUUGUAAACCUCUUUUGCUUGGGAAGAAUACUGACGGUACCAAGCGAAUAAGUAUCGGCUAACUCCGUGCCAGCAGCCGCGGUAAUACGGAGGAUGCAAGCGUUAUCCGGAAUUAUUGGGCGUAAAGCGUCCGCAGGUGGCACUUCAAGUCUGCUGUCAAAGACCGGAGCUUAACUCCGGAAAGGCAGUGGAAACUGGAGAGCUAGAGUAUGGUAGGGGUAGAGGGAAUUCCCAGUGUAGCGGUGAAAUGCGUAGAGAUUGGGAAGAACAUCGGUGGCGAAAGCGCUCUACUGGGCCAUAACUGACACUCANGGACGAAAGCUAAGGUAGCGAAUGGGAUUAGAUACCCCAGUAGUCAAGGGCGAAUUC